GAAAAUAUAAAAGGGCGUAAAUGUUACGGCUUGCAUUGUUUUAUGUUGUUUAGAGUCAAAAUGACGCGACCGUUUACUAUGAGGGGAUUUGGCAGCGUCUACUUUGGAGCGAGGGCUCAGUUUACUAAGUGGAAUUGACAUGGCUGCCGCCAAAAUUGGAGCGAGUCCUUAGGAAACAUAGUGAAAAUGACGCGGCUACAUUAAAUCUGAAUUUGACCCUGGACUGAUGCAGAGCUAUUACCACUAUUGCCAGGAUCGUGGAUGGCUGUCAUACUGACACAGAGGCUUUAUUGUGAGUACUCUUCUGAACAGAUAGUGAAAAUGGGCAUAUGUGGGCCCCUGUGAUUAUCUAAAAUGCUGUAUGGAAUGCUGGCCAUGAUGGCGUGAACAACCC